CCUACGGGAGGCAGCAGUGAGGAAUAUUGGUCAAUGGGCGCGAGCCUGAACCAGCCAAGUAGCGUGAAGGAUGACUGCCCUACGGGUUGUAAACUUCUUUUAUAAAGGAAUAAAGUGAGGCACGUGUGCCGUUGUGUAAGUACUCGAUGAAAAAGGAUCGGCUAACUCCGUGCCAGCAGCCGCGGUAAUACGGAGGAUCCGAGCGUUAUCCGGAUUUAUUGGGUUUAAAGGGAGCGUAGAUGGGUUGUUAAGUCAGUUGUGAAAGUUUGCGGCUCAACCGUAAAAUGGCAAUUGAUACUGGCAGUCUUGAGUGCAGUUGAGGUAGGCGGAAUUCGUGGUGUAGCGGUGAAAUGCUUAGAUAUCACGAAGAACUCCGAUUGCGAAGGCAGCUUACUAACCUGCCACUGACAUUGAUGCUCGAAAGUGUGGGUAUCGAACAGGAUUAGAUACCCGUGUAGUC
rnacentral:rRNA from 1 species